rnacentral:rRNA from 1 species
GACGAACGCUGGCGGCGUGCUUAACACAUGCAAGUCGAACGAUGAAACCUAGCUUGCUAGGUCGAUUAGUGGCGAACGGGUGAGUAACACGUGACUAACCUGCCCCUUUCUCUGGGAUAACGCUUCGAAAGGAGUGCUAAUACCGGAUACUCACAUCGAGGCACAUGCCUUGGUGUGGAAAGUUUUUCGGAAAGGGAUGGAGUCGCGGCCUAUCAGGUUGUUGGUGAGGUAACGGCGCACCAAGGCGACGACGGGUAGCCGGGCUGAGAGGGCGACCGGCCACACUGGGACUGAGACACGGCCCAGACUCCUACGGGAGGCAGCAGUGGGGAAUAUAGCACAAUGGGCGCAAGCCUGAUGCAGCGACGCCGCGUGAGGGAUGAAGGUCUUCGGAUUGUAAACCUCUUUCAGUAGGGACGAAGCGAAAGUGACGGUACCUAAAGAAGAAGCACCGGCUAACUACGUGCCAGCCGCCGCCGUAA